AUUCCCCUAUGGGGACCCAGGGACAGAGGGAAACGAACAUCAGAAGUGCCUACCUUUCGCGCUCCAUUGACGCCUAAGACUUAUCUUUUUUUCAGAAGAUUUAGAACCAUGUCGCAUUUCAUGUAUUUGACACUCAGUCUUACCUGGUUUCACUUACAGCUAUGAGUUGUUGACAAUUCUGGGAGUCAGAAUCUACGGUUUCCAGAAAACAAUUAAUGAAUAACUGGUGGCCACGUGGGGAACUGAAAUCAAGUCAAGCUAUCUAAGGCACUAGGUGUUACAAGGCAGCUCAGCCUCUUUUCCUAAACAGACCCAGUUCAUGGCUGCAACAGAUCCAUCCUGUGCAGUGAAACAGAUAUGAAAAGCACGAUGACUUAGUUGUCGUUUCAGCGACAGACUGCUAAGCUGACACGUCAUUACCCUGGAAGAAGACGCAUACCAUUCAGAAGGUGAAAUUCUCAGCAGGAGGCUGGCAACAGUGACCUGUGCUGGGAAACGUGCAGUGCACCAGCAUAGCCUUGGUAUUUGUAGGGCAAUUUUUGUUUUGAGUAUAACUCUUGACUCAUGGAAAAAUAAUCUAACUGUUUUGGGCUGGUCCUUGACUUGAUCUUCC
rnacentral:lncRNA from 1 species